GGACUACUGGGGUAUCUAAUCCUGUUUGCUACCCACGCUUUCGUGCCUCAGCGUCAGUUAUGGUCCAGAAAGCCGUCUACACCACAGGUGUUCCUCCUGAUAUCUACGCAUUUCACCGCUACACCAGGAAUUCCACUUUCCUCUCCCAUACUCUAGCUUCUCAGUAUUCGGCGCACCCUCCCGGUUAAGCCAGGAGAUUUCACACCAAACUUAAAAAGCCGCCUACGCACCCUUUACGCCCAGUAACUCCGAACAACGCUUGCUGCCUACGUAUUACCGCGGCUGCUGGCAC
rnacentral:rRNA from 1 species